GCCGGCGUAGCUCAGUGGUAGAGCAAUUCUUUCAUAAGGAAGAGGUCGGCCGUCCGAAUCGGCCCGCCGGCA
rnacentral:tRNA from 1 species